rnacentral:rRNA from 1 species
UACGUAGGUGGCAAGCGUUGUCCGGAAUUACUGGGCGUAAAGCGUGCGUAGGUGGUGAGUUAAGUCUGUCGUGAAAGCCCCGGGCUCAACCUGGGAAUGGCGAUGGAUACUGGCUCGCUAGAGUGCGGUAGAGGAGAGUGGAAUUCCCGGUGUAGCAGUGAAAUGCGUAGAGAUCGGGAGGAACAUCAGUUGCGAAGGCGGCUCUCUGGACCAGCACUGACACUGAGGCACGAAAGCGUGGGGAGCAAACAGG